ensembl:lncRNA
UCGAGUUAUGGAGGUUUAUUUAUUUUAAAGGAGACAAAAGAAACACGGGCGUCACACACAAUCCAAGAUGUCUCUCUCCACUCAGCUCCGUGCAUCAGCACCAACUGAAGCUUGACCCACAGGUGUAACGCCAAACCACUCCCAAGGGAAACAAAAGGCAUGCCAUAGAAAACAACAACGUGGAACCAACCUACACAGGAACCAAUCUUUGGAGAAGUUCACAAUAAAACAAAAAAUUAUGAACAUUGACCAAAAAUAAAACAAAAUCAAAUUUAGCUCGGCUGCAUACGAGGUUGUUGGAAGCAUCCACAUCAAUAUCUUUAAGACAGGUACAGAUUUGCAAAACCAUGCGAGGGCGAAACAUACAGGCCACUUGCAACAAUAUUUUAAAUACUUGUCUAUUACUCACAACAUAGGUUUAAACACUAUUAAUUGAUCCCAUUUCAGAAUACUACUUUCAGCAACUAAUUUAAACAUAUUUGCACUGGGAGUCAAUGCCCAAAACAGAAUGAAGUGCAAAAAAAAAAAUCGGUAGGAAUGAUGUGCGGGAAUUUUUUUAUUAAUAAAAUAAAAAAAUAAGUUAUUUUUUUCCCCAAGUGUGCAAAUGAUUAUGCUGCCACAUGCCAGGGGUGGCACGCGUGCCAGGGAUUGCUGACCCCUGCUCUGAAUAUUUUUUAGAACAUUCAGAUCGUUGUAAAGAACAUUCGACCAAUAAAGCUCAAAAUAUAUGAAUUAUUUUUGUAACUAUUCAGAUCGCUUGAAAUUAGGGAUGCACGAUAUAUUGGCAGUGAUAUUGUUAUGCCGAUGAUGUCAUUUUUUAACAUAUCGGCAUCGGCCCGAUAAGUAAAACUGGUCCGAUAUUAACAGCCGAUAUUUAUUUCCAUCUAGUUGCCGUGUCUUUUGCCUAUGCGCAGCUUGUUUGGUCAUGUGACAGUGUCAGUGACGCAGCCAGAGACGCACAGAGGCAGUACAGGAGUGUUUGUCACCUUAACUGAAAAGAAUCAAUGUCGGCGGUUUGGAUGUUUUUUACGGUCUCAAAUGAAGGUACUCAAAUUGCAAUAUGCAGUACUUGCAAAGCCGUAGUAAUGCACGGAGGAUGCCGUGUCAAAUCAUUCAACACCACUAGUGGUGCAAACGGUUCACGGGUUUCCCGUGAUCCGUACGGAUCAACCCUCACAGUUCGGGACGCAAGUGAUCCGCGGAUCGGCUGAUAAAAAAAAAAGUUGUGCGUUCACGUGAUCAGCGCAUGUUUAAAGGACAAUUCCGGUAUUAACAACAUCAAUUAUCGUAGCGAAAUAGUUUCUGUUGUGUUUUAUUUGGCGUUCCGUAAUCGCAUUGAAACAGAAACCGGAUGUUUAUAUUUGGUAGUAGUCUUUUCGCUCCGUUCUCCGGAUCAACAGUAGGGCUAUAACCGAGUGAAAAGACAACAACCAACCUUCCUUGAUUUAUUUGAUUUAGCCUAUCUCACAGAUUUGAGUUGAAAUUGACAAACUUGAAACACUUUUUGUAAAUUAUUAGACAGGUGUCUGGUUUCCAUGAAUAUUGGCAAAUUUGAUUUAAAUUAUAAAACCUUGUCAAGAUAUUUUGAUUUGUGAUCGUUAUUGUGAUUUAUGAUCCAAACUUUUUCAUAGAUGCAAGUUGUAAAAGUAGCCUAAAACUAACCCUGUUAGUAACUUGUGUUUGUUAUGGAUGCCCUGUAACUUGUUGAAGAAACAAUGUAUUUCGAAGUUUUGGAAAAUAAAGAAAGAAAUAACUUUUUCAUAUUCACAGUGUUUACAUGUUCUUCAGUAUACAAAAUCAUCAUAGAAACUUGUUUUUAUACCAAUAUCGAUAUCGGUAAAUAUCGGUUAUCGGCCGUAACAGCAAUUUUAAUAUCGGAUAUCGGUCAAAAUUUUCAUAUCGGUGCAUCCCUACUUGAAAUAAAUAGUUCUCAACCAAUCAGGUCGCUGAAAAUAAAUAUUUUUCGACCAAUCAGUUCCUAGAAAUUAUAAAUUUUUCGACCCAUCAUUAAUUUUCAACCACGUCGCUCAAAAUUAAUUCAUUUAUUCAACCAAUCAGAGCUCUCGAAAUAAUUGUAUUAUUUCGACCAAUCAUAUCACUAGAAAAAGUUUUUCCCCCCUAAUCAGUUCCCUCAAAUAGUUUUGCUGACCAAUCAAAUAUCUCGACUUUUUUUCUACCAGUUAUUAUGUUUGUUUCUUUAUGGCAUGGGGAAGAAAUGGAAGACAAAUGUAGAAAAAUUAUUAAAUUUCGACCAAUCAGAUCUAUUUUUUCAUAUUUUUUCUUCGACCAAUCAGAUCUCUUCAAAUAUAUAUCUCUCGAUUAUUAUUAUUUUUUUGACAAUUCAGAUCGCUGGAAGUCAAGCUCGAAAUAAAUUAAGCUAUCUGGUCGAAUAGCUGGUGGUCCGGCUGGACAUCUGGCACCUGAUGCGACGCUGCGCGUCGGUUGUCAGUACCGAGAGCCACCAGCUCUGCCAGUAUCUUCCUGUGGGACCCAGAGGACACAGCCCGGUUUGCUCAACGCCAACAGGAGGACGCUUGAGGCCCAGGGGAUGACCUUCACGUCUGACGCCGGAGUGUGGAGGCACGUCAGCCGCAGGGAGAUGGCUCUCCAUCGCCACGGAGCAGCGGCGGAACCACCAGUGCAACCAGGACCCUCCGGGAGUGGAGCUGUACACAGAGACAGGCAGGCCGACGGGGGGGGAUCAGCCUGCUGACGUACCGUUGUGCGCGAGGCUCCACGUCCCUGGAGUCGUUCCAUCUGCAUCUCAACCGCUUCAUUCCAGGUAAACCACGUGUUUCACUGUCAUGUCGGGGUCGGCUCAGGAGGAAGAGCAGUUGUCUUGUAACCGAAAGAUUGCUAGUUUGAUCCCCAGCUCCUCCUAGCUGAGUGUUGAUGUGUCCCUGAGCCAGACACUUAACCCUAACUGCUCCUGACGAGCUGGCUGUCGCCUUGCAUGGUUGACUCUGCCGUCGGUGUGCAAUGUGUGUAUUAAUCGAUGCAAGUCGCUUUGAGUAAAAGCAUCUGCUAAAUGCCCCGAUUGUAAUUGUAAUGUCCAUCUUUCGCCACCACCUGCUCCAACACCACCAGCGCCAACACCACCCGCGCCAACACCACCAGCGCCGGCGCCAACACCAGCACCAACAACACCACCAGCGCCAACACCACCGUCACCCACCACCGUCGCCACCACCGUCGCCAACACCACCAGCGCCACCACCGUCGCGGCCCAGGAGGGUCGCCCGCUGGGGCCCACCUCCAGUGGCCCCCCGCAGCACUCCCUGGACCAGCUCAGCCAACGGGGGCUUGGCUCGAGUUUGGUCAGGGAUUACACCAAGCCCAGGGAGUACACGGGUAAGAACGUUCGAGCCAUAACUCAGCCAGCCGAGUAGUUUACCCUCCCUGCUACAGGGACGGGGCAUUCAUGGCAGCGAAGCCAGGCCACACUGGUAUCCCUGGUGCGGAGAGCCUGAGACGGUGAGGAGGCUACGUGAGGUUUCUCUCUUUGUGGGCCGUCACCUCGUAUCACGUCUGUGGGGCGUCCGUCCGUGUGUCUAAAUAUGUGAUUGUGUCUUGCAGAUUGCCAAAAAGCUUGCGGGCGCCGCCGCCGGCUCGGCCGCCUGGAUGACGAACGUUGGCAACGAGUACGGGCAGGUGCUCGUGUCCGUUCUCACCUCGGCCGAGGGGGAGGGACUGACCAACAUGCCGGCCUGCCUGAUGCGGCUGUACCGGGAAGGCCCCUCCGAGGGUCCUGUACGUGGACCGGGACUGCUGUGCCGCCGUGGGCCAGUCGGCCGUGCAGGGGAUGUACCACGAGUUGCACGAGCUGGUGGUGCGGCUGGACGUGUGGCACCUCAUGCGACGCUUCGCGAGGGGGGUCCCCACCGACAGCUCUACGGCCGCUUCAUGGCGAGGGAGUGUGGUGAGGUCCACCUUCCGGCUGCUGGGGUCCCUGCGCCCGGCCCACCCCCUCCUGCUGCUCUUCAGGCAGCGUCUGCCGCCAGCUGAGGGGGAUCAGCUGAAACACACACGCAGCAAACACAUAGUGAGUGUGAAUGUGCAGCACAGGCACACAAACACACACACAACACACAACACACAACACACAAAAUCAUACAAACCUCUUUUCCGGUAGCAGGCCUCGUGGCCAUCGGUCCUGGUCCUGGUGCUGGUCCUUCCAGCGUGGCCGGCGGGGGCGUCCCUGGACGUGCCUGACAACCCAUAUCAGCGUUAGGGCGGUGCGUUACACGUGCGGUACAAGUGUAUUCACAUCUAAACGUAUACUCACUGGGAGGGUCGACCUCGUCGGCAGCGGCGAGCUGUUGGGCGUCGGUGGGGUCAGAGUAGGUGUGUCGGUGUGUUUCUGCUGCAUCCCCUCAUCUGGAGGAAGACGCUGCCUGAAGAGCAGCAGGAGUGGGUGGGCCUGUUCCACAGGGACCCCAGCAGCGGGAUGGCUGUCCUCACCACACCGCCCCGACUGAGGUGGUACCCGCCAGGGGCCAGGCUCCUCUACACGCAGCCCCCCGCCACAGCCCACGCCUUCUUCCAGCGCCCGUUCUUCCUCUGGCUGCCCUAUCGGAUGUGGGCGUGCCACCUCAAGUGCCCCGCCGAUGGGGGCAAGCUGAUGGGCGCCGGCCUCUACAAGAUCGUCCGGAGGGUCUCGGACAGGAGCGGGUGGUACUACAUGUCCACAGAAUGCCUUCAGUGCCCCUCCAGCGGCAAAAAAGGUGGUUGGCUGGUCGCAGGAAAUCCUGGAGCAGCUGGACGUUGCUCACGUGAGCUAUUCCCGGCUGCUCUGACGUAUAAGCAUCUCACUUUAACCACUUAGUCUUUGGGCCAUUUUUUUGUUUUUGCACUGAGCCUACUCUAGAGAGCACUGCUCAUUCGUAGUAUGACCUCUAAUCACAUGCUUGAACUCUUUAGAAAGCUGAGAAGCUGUAGAAUUGUUUAACAUUAUCAGAAUAACUAUCAUGUACCGUCAGUGCUGGGAAGGCUACAAUAUUGUUUUUCCUUCCAGCAGGUUACACGCACACACACACACACACACACCUCUAAAACCAAGCUGAUUGUAGUACCCUGAGUAACUCCAUAUCCCUUUGAAUCACUACUGAGCCCUAGCCCUAGGUCUUGUGAUGCUGUGUGCAAAAGCAGAUCAACAAAGCAUAAAAGAUGAAGUCUCAAGCUCCUUUCAUGUAAUGAUAUGUCCAUUCGUUUUGUUCAAGGUCCAUUUGGAGACUUCAAAAAAGACCUUUGGCUACCCAAAAUGCAUACUGUAAACAAAAGUGGACCCAAACAUAUAGAAGCAUAAUCUUGGUCGCAAAUGAAAGGUUACCCUCUGGGCUUUCUUGUGAACCAUUUAGAUAGCAUACCAGAUGUUCUGAUAUGUAAUGAGGCAGGCAAAAUCACACAAUUGCAAUUUUUAGCUAUUCGCCUAUGCAAUUGUGACAAAAUAAGGCUAAAAAAGUUUUUCUGCCAUUAUUUUUACUUAAAAAGUGAAAACUGCAAUGGUAUAAACACCAAAACUGAAAUAGUAAAAAUACUAUGAAUAACCAUGUACAAAUAAAAAAAAAAA